rnacentral:rRNA from 1 species
AGUGAACGCUGGCGGUAGGCCUAACACAUGCAAGUCGAACGGCAGCACCGUAAUAGCUUGCUCUUACGGGUGGCGAGUGGCGGACGGGUGAGGAAUACAUCGGAAUCCACUUUUUCGUGGGGGAGAACGUCGGGAAACUUACGCUAAUACCGCAUACGACCUACGGGUGAAAGCAGAGGAUCUUCCGACCUUGCGCGAUCUAAUGAGCUGAUGUCGGGUUAGCGAGUUGGCGGGGUAACGGCCCACCAAGGCGACGAUCCGUUGCUGGGCUGAGAGGGUGAUGCGGGACACUGGGACUGAGACGCGGUCCAGACUCCGACGGGAGGCAGCGAUGGGGAAUAUUGGAAAAUGGGCGCAAGCCUGCUCAAGGCAUACAGGGUGGGUGAAGAAGGGCUUCGGGUUGGAUAGCCCUUUUGGUGGGGUAGAAAAGCAGCAGGUUAAUACCCCGCUGUUGUGACGGUACCUAAAGAAUAAGCACCGGCUAACUUCGUG